rnacentral:lncRNA from 1 species
CCUUGAGUCUCCUUGAACAACAGAUGCAGAACCCACAGGUUACUAACUUCUUAGGCCUCACCUCCAUUCCGAAGUAGAAUUGGACAGACUCCUAGAAUCACCACCCGAGAAAGCUGGCAGGUCUGUCUUAUAAUCAGAACAGACUGUUCAUAGCCUCAGGUACCAAGAUCUUUCUCUGCUCUACUCAGUCACAUCACUGGGGAAAUACCAGGUAAAAGACACUGUGCCAGCUGCUGAGGAUAAAUAAGAAACCGUCUUGGUCAGCUGGCUGGCUGAAGUGUGUGGUGAAUAGAAAGAGCACAGGAUGCAAUGACCAACUGUGAUUCCAGAGGAUCAGUGAUGAAG